rnacentral:lncRNA from 1 species
AAAUGUUUUGCCUUUCAUUGUUCUGUUUUCGAUAAAAUAAAGAAUAUCAUAGGCAGAAAGUUCCAUUCAAAAUGUAAGUCUUUAUGCCGAUGUGUUCAUGGUCGCCUGAAGCUUUCUAACUGCAAAUUUAAAUUCCAUAGAUCCUUCUUAAUUACCUGCGUGUCUAUUUUUCCUUUUUUCUUAUUUAUUUAUUUAUGUAUUAACUUAUUUUUUGCAAGAAUUUUUAUAGGGUAAGGUAUCUUUGUGGUAAGUAUCCUUUUCUUGCGGGAUACCGUGUGUCGGCUUACCCACCGAGGAGGCAAUUAUACAUGGUUGUAGAUCUGGCUGUGAGGUCAAAGCUUUGUUUUCCAAGCACUUGGUUCUAAUUUCAGUAACAGCAUUGGCAAGGGUCUUCUACUAUAGCUCUGGACAUAUCAAAGCUGUGUAAGUGGAUUUCGCAGACAGAAACUGAAAGAAGCUUGACGUAUAUAUAUAUAUAUAUAUAUAUAUAUAUAUAUAUAUAUAUAUAUAUAUAUAUAUAUAUAUAUAUAUAUAUAUAUAUAUAUAUAUAUAUAUAUAUAUAUAUAUAUAUACAUAUACAUAUACAUAUGUAUAUAUACAUAUAUACUUAUAUAUAUGUAUAUAUGUAUGCAUGUGUGUGUGUGUGUCUUUGUGCUUGUGUGUGUGUGUCCUACCACUGCAUGACGACCGGUCUUGGUAUGGGUACAUCUCCAUAUUUAGAGGUUUGAUAAAGAGAUAAAAUAAGUACCAAACCUUACAAAAAUAGUACUCGGGUCGAUUUGUUCGACAAGGACCUCCUAUGAGGUAUCCCAGCAUGGCUGCAGUCUAAUGACUGAAUCAGGUAAACGAUACAGGUGAGUAUAUAUAUAUCUAUUACUAAACUUCCCGUCUAUAUGUAUUUCUUUAUAUUUAAUAUUAACAGCUGUGUGUUUAGCGGAAACAUAUUAUUAUUAUUCUGGUGAGCGUGCGAUAGUGUAUGUUUGUGUGUGCAUGCAUGUGCACGAGGGUGGGUUUCGGUAUAUAAUAUUAUGCGUGUGUGUGUAUGUAUAUGUAUGUAAAUACGUGUGUGUAUUUCAGUGAACCUGUUUGUGUGCUUGUGUUUAUUAUAGACUUUGUAGGUGAUUUGGAGAUUGUAUCUUUCUGUUUGCAUUGUGAGAUUUGUGUUUCAUUGGAGAUUGUUAAUGCAAACUGAAUGACGUGUUUAUACUUUUAUAAAGGCCUAUGUUUAUAUGUUUCAUAUAUAUAUAUAUAUAUAUAUAUAUAUAUAUAUAUAUAUAUAUGUUUGUGUGUGUGUGUGUAUGUAUUUAUGUAUGUAUCUAUGUAUGCAUCUAUGUAUAUGUAUGUCUAUAACUAUAUAUAUGUUCAUAAGGUGAGGAUAUAUGUUUACGAAACCUUAUGUUUAUUUAGUCAUUUUCACAUUUUCAAUUUGUCUUGCUCUGUGCUACUAACUACCACCCACGUAUCAUCCACACCAUGGCCACCACCAGCAAUGAUUCGGUUACAGCCCCAAAUAACUCCCUCCGUUCGGUGUACUUUCUUCAAUGCACGCUCUUCUUCACUUCUAACUCUCCCCGUCUCCCUUUCUUAACUCCUUAUUCAUCUUCUCAUCCUCCAGGCCAAAUUUCAAUUACUCCUCCUCCUUCUUCUUCUCAAAUUUCGCUCACGAACUUCUGCAUACUUUAUACUAAUAACCUUUUAGAAAUUGCUCGAAACGUUAGAUAUUUUUCUUGCUACAACAAACUAACAUUUGGCUUUAUUCAAUUGAUAGCACUGAAAUACUAGAAAUGAUAGUAUUACUAGUUACAGUAGUUAGUGUUUUGCCAUUGUGCACUGUGUUUUUUUUUAUUUUAUUAUUUUAUUAUUUUUUGUUUUUACUUGUUGCUUUUUCGUUUCAAAUCCACUUGAGGUGACCUUCGCAUUUACCCAUUUGUUUAGACGGACAAAUAUGUUCUGCUCCAUUGUACAGACGGACAAAUAUGUUCUACGUUGGUCAAUACAGUUAAAUAAAUUUCUCAGCCAUAAAUGUAUGAAAUUAAUAUUUACGGAAUCGAAAAAGGGAGCCCGUAUAUAUAUCCGUGAAAUUGCAUAAAAAUAGCAGCAAGAAUCCCAUUAAAUCAUACUCUAUAACCUUAAAAGGAUGGGCAUAUUAGAUAACGCAUUUUGUAAAAAUGAUAUUCUGUUUUAUGGUUUUUGAUAAUGGGAUUCCUUGUUCAGGACAUUCCUAGGGCUAAAAAAACAAUAGCAAUCAAUAUUUCUGCUCAUUAGGGCAGUGGUGAAGAGAAUGAGAGACCUUUAGACCUAACUACUAGAAAACCGAAAUAGAUAUUUGUAGCAUUUGCUUUUAUCCUCGUACGUCUGGAUCUGAAAUGUCAUUGAGACUGACUUUUCUUUUCAUCUGACCGAGUGUCAGUAAAACAUAUAUCAUGUAAUUCGCUUGGAAUCAAUUCACUAAAAUAAAUCCUUCAAAUAAAAUGUGUAUCAUUCUGUUAAUGUGAAGAAUCGAUAGUUAUUCAGGUCUUUCAGUUUGUGUUAACCACCAAUGUGAACGCCCGACUGGAGCAAUGACCGCAAAUUUUAAGUACUUUUCUGUGUUUAUUGUGUGUCGACUCUGUUUAUAUCUUAACUUACAAGUUGUUGCUUCUUUUUAUAUUUAAUAUUACAAUUAGAUAAAUCAACAAAUGUACAGACAUUUCUACGCAAUGCUAUAUUCGAGUGAGUCAUAUACAUAUAAACAUACAUGCAUAUAUAUAUAUAUAUAUAUAUAUAUAUAUAUAUAUAUAUAUAUAUAUAUAUAUAUAUAUAUAUAUGUGUGUGUGUGUAUAAUAUAUAUAUAAUACAUAUAUACAUGUAUUUAUAUGCAUAUAUAUAUAUAUAUAUAUAUAUAUAUAUAUAUAUAUAUAUUUAAAUUAACAGGAUGAGUUAUAUAUAUAUAUAUAGAAAUUAACAGAAUGCGAUAAAAAUAAUCCGAGGCUGUGAAAGAUUUCAGAAAAUUUAUAAAUAGAAGGUCGUACAGGAAUCUUAUAUGUAUACCAUUCUGCCUAAAUAAUGGAACUGAAGAUAAAAUAUCCCUGCAUAUCUCACGUCUGUUCUCAUUCCUCCACUUCAAUCUCUAUUUUAUAUCUUAUGUAGAAUAACUGAUGCUUAAGCAUUUUCUCACACCGUCUCCGAUGAAGCGUUAUAUAAAAUAUCCCGGAAACAGCUGUAAGACCAUCUAUUUAUAAAUUUUCUGAAAUCUUUCACAGCCUCGGAUUUUUAUCUCAUUCUGUUAAUUUCUUUCAUAUAUGCAGAUGCUGAUAUAUGACCUACGUUGGGCUCCUCAUUCGCAUAAUCACCGAACCUGGAGCUUAACUAUAUAUAUAUAUAUAUAUAUAUAUAUAUAUAGAGAGAGAGAGAGAGAGAGAGAGAGAGAGAGAGAGAGAGGUUAUGAGAGGUAAUGGUGUCAAUAAAACCCAAAUGUGUCAAGUAAUGCUGAGUAAGUGCUGUGGACAGACUAUAGUUAAGCUCCAGGCUUGGUGAUUAUGCGAAUGAAGAGUCCAACGUGUGUACAUGUAAAAAAAAUCUCAGAAUGGGAAACUCUUUCACAGCCUUGGAUUUUUAUCUCAGUCUGAAAAUUUCGUAUUUAUGUAUAUAUAUAUAUAUAUACACAUAUAUAUGGGGAGGUAUGGGGGUGGGGAGGUAUGGGGGUGGGGGUGUAUAUGUGUGUGUGUAGUUAGAAUAUUCUUUAUUAAUAUAUUUAAAGCUUUAACCGGUUUCACAGUUUACACAGAUUUUCAAAAAGUUGAAAUAGAAAGCCGUGUCUUAAUUCGCAGCUGUCUUGCUUCUUACUAGUGUUUGAAGCCUACCCUAUGUUUAUAGGGGGUUCAUGGCUCCAAUUAGUAUAUGCUUUGAAUAGGACUGAUUGGUAGAGGAUAGUCACAUGACUGGUCUUAGAAAGUUUUGUAGGUUCCCCGCUACGUCCGUGUGUUAGUAUCAAGUGACAAUGUUCAGCGCCGUAAGUUAAGGCAGACACAGUUGACUGAAUAUGUCUAAACAAUCAAUGCUCUGAAUGUUUUGUCAAGUGUCGGUAGAGAAUGAACACAUAAUUUGCAUGUUUCCCGUUAGGCUUGUGUUAGUGCCACGUGACUGUAUAUUUUGCGCCAACAAAUUUAACCUGUCUGGUGGAAGAGUGGACAGGAGUCGUUUGUAUGUAGUCCAUUGGCUAAAGUUUAGGUUGUUAGCUGUGUAGAUUCAUCAUGUUAAGUAGCAACAUUAGUUUUGUGAGCGAAUAAUAAUUUGCGUAUGUACACUGUUAGAGUUCGUUAAGUAUUGGCUUGUAUUUUUGUAUGAAAGUAUUUUCUGUGUUCAUUUAUGUUCAUCUGUGGUAUUCGCUGAACAUUGGUAGAGUGGGAAGAAGUGGAAUUUGGGGGACUUAAUUUUUGCACACAUGUCUAUGUGUCUAUUCAGUGAAAUCUGAUUAGUACCGAGGUCUUGCAUUUGUUGUCGGUGAACGGUCAGUCUAUUUCUUAGAGAAAGCUUUGUUUUACCUAUGUGAUCUUCAUUACAUCCUUGACAUUUGAUAACGUUUAAUAAAUUCCCUGAAGAACAUGUAAUAUGACUUUUUACGGUAAAAAUCUGUCCUCAUUUGAAUUUGUAUGUUGUGUCUUCAAUAAAGUUGAUGCGGGACUUUCAUCAACCACUUAUGCGGAUUAUCCUCAGUCACUAGCACACCAUGGAAACCGAGUCCAGUCGUAUAAAUCACGGCACUCGAGGCAGCAUGGAACAAUCCAUUUUAUAUAUGUAGAUAGUAUAGUAAACCAAUAGUCUACUGAUCUAUUGAUCAGGUCUUUUUAUUAUGUAAAUUUCAAUUGAAAGAAACUAUAUCAGAUCUUUUACAUUUCUAAGCUCCAUUGUUCUAUGCUGCAUGGUGCUUUGUGCAACUAACUGAGUAAAGUUCUCGCCAAAGCAAUACCAUAUUCUAUGCUAAUAAGAAAUGAUCGAACAACCAUCUUGUUAGAAUAGAA